rnacentral:lncRNA from 1 species
CGGUGUGAAGACACAGGAAUACGACAUAACAACAGAUACAGAGCCUGGAGUAAUGACAGUACAAGUCAAGGAACACCAAGGAUCACCAGCUGCCACCCAACCCAGGAAGAGUAUCUUUCAGAGCCACCCGGUGAAUGGAACUGAAAUGCUACAGGAGUUUGCUUUGGGAUGCUGCAGUGCUGCUAAUGGCUGAGGGCAUCACUGAGAUGUUCUGUAACUCACUGCAGGCGAGAUGCCGCUUCAGUAUCCCAUACCUUUGGCUGCUCUUCGUCUACUAUACCUCCUCACACUUCUCCCAGUCACCUUUCCAGCAGCUGUGAUUCCAGCUGAUUUUGGCCACCCACAUUGAUCUGGACAGGAUGCCUCUCAGAUGGAGUCUCCUCAGCCGCCCAGGUUGGAGUGCAGUGGCGUGAUCUCAGCUCACUGCAACCACUGUCUCCCGGGUUCAAUAGAUUCUCCCAACUCAGCCUCCCGAGUAGCUGGGAUUACAGGCACCUGCCAUCAUGCCUGGCUAAUUAGAGAAUAACUUUUUACAGGAC